rnacentral:rRNA from 1 species
AAUGUGACCUCGAUCAGGUAGA